rnacentral:rRNA from 1 species
AGAGUUUGAUCAUGGCUCAGGACGAACGCUGGCGGCGCGCCUAACACAUGCAAGUCGAACGAGAAUCAGCUGAUGAAGUUUUCGGAUGGAUUUGGUUGAGGAAAGUGGCGGACGGGCGAGUAACGCGUGAGCAACCGACCUCGUACUGGGGGAUAACGUCGGGAAACCGGCGCUAAUACCGCAUGACAUUACGGGAUCGCAUGGUCUUGUAAUCAAAGCUCCGGCGGUGCGAGACGGGCUCGCGUCCAAUUAGCUAGUUGGUGAGGUAACGGCUCACCAAGGCGACGAUUGGUAGCCGAACUGAGAGGUUGAUCGGCCGCAUUGGGACUGAGACACGGCCCAGACUCCUACGGGAGGCAGCAGUGGGGAAUCUUGCGCAAUGGGGGAAACCCUGACGCAGCGACGCCGCGUGAAGGAAGAAGGCCUUCGGGUUGUAAACUUCUUUGGUCGGGGAAGAAAGAGACGGUACCCGAGGAACAAGCCACGGCUAACUACGUGCCAGCAGCCGCGGUAAUACGUAGGUGGCGAGCGUUGUCCGGAAUUACUGGGCGUAAAGGGCGUGUAGGCGGGGGUACAAGUCAGGUGUGAAAUACCGCGGCUCAACUGCGGGGGUGCAUCUGAAACUGUACUUCUUGAGUGUCGGAGAGGAAAGCGGAAUUCCCAGUGUAGCGGUGAAAUGCGUAGAGAUUGGGAGGAACACCAGUGGCGAAGGCGGCUUUCUGGACGACAACUGACGCUGAGGCGCGAAAGCGUGGGGAGCGAACAGGAUUAGAUACCCUGGUAGUCCACGCUGUAAACGAUGGAUACUAGGUGUAGGAGGUAUCGACCCCUUCUGUGCCGGAGUUAACACAAUAAGUAUCCCGCCUGGGGAGUACGGCCGCAAGGCUGAAACUCAAAUGAAUUGACGG